GCAGUCGGUCGGUCUGUCGCUUGUGCGUAGUGCACAAGAGGAAAGUCCGGGCAACACAGAGCAUCCUACUUCCUAACAGAAAGCUGUUCGCAAGGGCAGAGUAACGCAGAAGAAAAUAACCGCCGGUGCACUCCCUCAGGAGAGCUUCGGUAAGGGUGAGAAGGCAGGGUAAGAGCCUACCGGUCUUGUGGCGAUGCAAGAGCCGUGCGUCUUGGGAGUUGUAAGGUCAUGUAAACCGGCGCUUGAGGGCUGCUCGCUCGAUUGCCGGAGGGUAGACCGCUAAAGCUGCAUGGUGACAUGCAGCGCAGAUAAAUGACAGACACCUUGUUUGCUAUAUAUGUAUAAACUUAUUUAUCGCAAAGAAGGUACAGAACCCGGCUUACAGACCGACUGCGCAU
rnacentral:RNase_P_RNA from 1 species